rnacentral:rRNA from 1 species
UACGUAGGGUGCGAGCGUUGUCCGGAAUUAUUGGGCGUAAAGAGCUUGUAGGCGGUCUGUCGCGUCUGCUGUGAAAAUCCGGGGCUCAACCCCGGACUUGCAGUGGGUACGGGCAGACUAGAGUGUGGUAGGGGGAGACUGGAAUUCCUGGUGUAGCGGUGAAAUGCGCAGAUAUCAGGAGGAACACCGAUGGCGAAGGCAGGUCUCUGGGCCACUACUGACGCUGGAGAAGCG